rnacentral:snRNA from 1 species
AUACUUACCUGGACGGGGUUAAUGGGUGAUCAAGAAGGCUCAUGGCCUAGAUUAGUGGCCUCCAUUGCACUUAGGAGGAACGCUCGUCUACCAUCUCCCCGAGUGGGAGAGUGGACGUCAUAAUUUGUGGCAGAGGGGGUACGCGUUCGCGCGGCCCCUAC